ACUGCGGAUCCUUGACCCACUGAGCGAGGCCAGGGAUUGAACCCCCCUUCUCAGGGACACUAUGUUGGGUUCUUAACCCACUGAGCCACAAUGAGAACUCCCACAAGGUCUUCUUCUAAAGACACGAGUGGUUGAAUUCAGGGCCCUCCUAAUCUAGGAUGACGUCAUCGUAAUGAAAUUAUUUACAUCUGUAAAGACCCUAUUCUGAGUAAGUUCACAUUGUGAAAUUCAAGGUCAACAUGAAUUUUGGAGGGAAACUAUUUAAUAAUUCACGACAGCCUCCAGCCCAUUUACCCUCAGAAACAUCAGUACAAUUCAUCAGAACGUAAUGCUAAUAAUAAGGCCCAGGCUCCAUGUUUCAUUCCAGGUACUGAGCAGGUCAUUUUACCUGGCUCUAGGCUGACAGCUGCAUACGUACCUUGAAAUUUUAUACAGUUACUUAAAAAGGGACUCAGACAAGAACUGGGAUGAAAUAACACAAAUCCACCCUUAGAGCUACGGAAGACCCCAAAGUUCGUGCCUACACAAGGGUUGGUCCAUAAGGGCAUUUUCAUCUAUAGUCCCUGGAAUACACUGGUACACGUAACAACGCGGCUUAUGGCAAAGGUGAUUGGACCACAGUGGAUAUUUUACAUCAUAACAUUGUGUUCUUUUUAUGACAUGGACAGUACAAUGCCUUCUCUGGCUACCUUCUGUUGCUGGACGAUACAAAUUCUGACACUCUGUCUGCUUUUUAGUUUGCUCUGAAACUUGGUGAACCAUCAGCUUUAGUGGCUUGUGCAUGUGUACCGGAGAUGAAAAUGAUGAGCAGUAGUUUGAGUUUGUACAGAACUUCCUUUCUGGAAUCUUGUAUUUUUGGCAGGUGUGUGGAAGGACUGGGGGGAAUUACGUGGCAUCGAAUAGAAUUUCAGCAAAGGACCAGCGACUCCAAUCAUGUAUUUUUAUGCAUAGAUGAAGACACUUAUUCUUCAAAAGUAUACCUGGAAGACAGACUGCAGUGGCUGACCUGGUUUUCUUCCCUCACUUGUGUCAUCUGAUACCAGAAGUCCGUCUCUUUCUUCGUUUACCAAGUGGAUGUUUGUCUGCAGGGCAAGCAUAUGCAUUUCAGGAAGUGAGCUGUGAAGAAUGUAGCAAGUCCACAUCUGUUCAGCUGGUGGUGCAGCAGCCCUGGAAUCAGCCCCUGUCCCUGGGGCCACCUCAUCCACCCAGUGCUGGAGCUGGACCGCUUGAGCCUUUCUGCCAGUCAAAGGUCAUGGUUAGAAUCUCUCACUUUAUUUAUUUAUUGGUUUCCAACUUUUUUUUUUUUUUUUUGGCCAAGCCUGCGGCAUGUGGCAGUUCCCAGGCCAGGGAUCAAACUGAAGCCACAGCAGCAACUUGAGCAACUGCCGUGACAAUGCCAGAUCCUUAACCCUCUGUGCCACAGGGGAACUUCCUUUCAACAUAUUGCACUGUAAAAUUUUCAAACACACAGGAAAAUUGGAAGUCAUGUACAAAGAACACCCAUCUACCCACCACACAGAAUCUAAAAUUAACAUUUUGCUAUCCUGGAUUGAUCGUAUAUCUACCCGUCCCUUUACCCAUCCUCCGGCCAUCUUUUAAACAUUUCAAAAUAAGUGGCUGAUUUCAGACACUUCCUUCUAAAUAAUUCUGCCUACAUAGCAUUAGCUGUUUACAGUUCUUGUUGGGGUUGAAUCUUUUAACAUGAGUGUUCUUCUUUUAUAAAAUUUAUGAUUAGCUGCUCUACCUAGUGUUUGGUAUGGUUAUGUGGUUAAUGUGGGCCUCCCCUUCCAAGGCAAAGGGACUGUGCUGUUUUGUUCACCAGCAAAACCGGAUGACCCGGAGAUGCUGAGUAUAUAGUUCAUUUGUCACGGAACAUGUGGGAAGGCAGAAAGAAAUGGGUGGAAGAUGGAGCUACAGAAACGGAAAGGAAAGGGAACUAUGUCUUCUCCAGGCCAGACCGUUGGUGGUACUGGGGCUGGUUAAAGCCCUUUUGGGAGAUGGAGCAGGACAUGCUUGCUGAGGAAACUGCCAUUUUAUGUUGGUUCAAUUAAGAAAGUAAAAUGAAGUACUGUGGGUAUCUUCACGGAUGGUUCUACUAUGAGUAAGUUCCUAGGGUUCUGGCUGUUUAUUUGGUAAGGAUGCACAUAGUACCUCCGUUUGUAAUUUAGACAUGUCUCCUGUCUCAACUCCAGGCUCCGUUUGUAAUUUGGACAUGUCUCCUGUCUCAGCUCAAGGCUCUGUUUGUAAUUUGGACAUGUCUUCUAUCUCAACUCCAGCUCAACCAGCUGGAGAUAAAACUUCUGAUGAAAAACUCAUGAGUCAUGGGCCAGAGAUAUUGACCUCAUAUUUGACACAUGAAAAUAGAAUCUCAUUCUCUCCUUCUCAAUUAUGGGGAACUUUCUUUCCCACCAUGACUCCUCUUUGGCCAUCCCUCCAGUUCUUGGUGAUACCAUCUCUGAACUAAGAUUAUGUCUUUUUUUUUUUUUUUUUUUGUCUUUUUGCCAUUU